rnacentral:rRNA from 1 species
AGCGAACGUUAGCGGCGCGCCUAACACAUGCAAGUCGUGCGAGAAAGGGCUUCGGCCCCAGUAAAGCGGCGCACGGGUGCGGAACACGUAGGUAAUCUUCCCUCAGGCGGGGGAUAACUCUCCGAAAGGAGUGCUAAUACCGCAUAAGACCACGACCACUUCGGUGGUCGCGGGAAAAGCUGGCCUCUUCAUGAAAGCUAGCACCAGAGGAUGAGCCUGCGGCCCAUCAGCUAGUUGGAGGUAACGGCCUACCAAGGCUAAGACGGGUAGCUGGUCUGAGAGGAUGAUCAGCCACACUGGCACUGAAACACGGGCCAGACUCCUACGGGAGGCAGCAGUGGGGAAUAUUGGACAAUGGGCAAAGCCUGAUCCAGCGACGCCGCGUGA